rnacentral:tRNA from 1 species
GCCGCGAUGGCAGAGUGGUUAAUGCGUCAGACUUGAAUGAUUUAAAUUCUUCAGCUAUCUGAUGCCUGUACGUUCUCUACAAUGUCGUGUGCAACGAGCAAUGCUAAGUGAUCCUUAUAGUCGGGCGCGCAGGUGUAUGUUGUUCAACAAUCGUGACAGUAUGGAGUCUUAUUCUAAUACUUCCUAGUCGAAUCCUGUUCGCGGCG